rnacentral:rRNA from 1 species
AAACCAGCACCUCAAGUGGUCAGGAGGAUUAUUGGGCCUAAAGCAUCCGUAGCCUGUUCUAUAAGUUUCCGGUUAAAUCCACUAGCUCAACUAGUGGGCUGCCGAAAAUACUGUAGAACUAGGGAGUGGGAGAGGUAGACGGUAUUCGGUAGGAAGGGGUAAAAUCCUUUGAUCUAUUGAUGACCACCUGUGGCGAAGGCGGUCUACCAGAACACGUUCGACGGUGAGGGAUGAAAGCUGGGGGAGCAAACCGGAUUAGAAACCCCGGUAGUCC